GAUGAACGCUAGCGGCAGGCUUAAUACAUGCAAGUCGAGGGGCAACAGGGGUAGCAAUACCUGCUGGCGACCGGCAAACGGGUGCGGAACACGUACAGAACCUUCCUUUAAGCGGGGGAUAGCCCAUAGAAAUGUGGAUUAAUACCCCAUAGUAAUAUUGACUGGCAUCAGUUGGUAUUUAAAGAUUUAUCACUUAAAGAUGGCUGUGCGGCUGAUUAGGUAGUUGGUGCGGGUAACGGCCCACCAAGCCAGCGAUCAGUAACUGGUGUGAGAGCACGACCAGUCACACGGGCACUGAGACACGGGCCCGACUCCUACGGGAGGCAGCAGUAAGGAAUAUUGGUCAAUGGACGCAAGUCUGAACCAGCCAUGCCGCGUGAAGGA
rnacentral:rRNA from 1 species